UACGUAGGGUGCAAGCGUUAAUCGGAAUUACUGGGCGUAAAGCGUGCGCAGGCGGUUUUGUAAGUUUGUCGUGAAAUCCCCGGGCUCAACCUGGGAAUUGCGAUGAAGACUGCAAGGCUAGAAUCUGGCAGAGGGGGGUAGAAUUCCACGUGUAGCAGUGAAAUGCGUAGAGAUGUGGAGGAACACCGAUGACGAAGGCAGCCCCCUGGGUCAAGAUUGACGCUCAUGCACGAAAGCGUGGGGAGCAAACAGG
rnacentral:rRNA from 1 species